rnacentral:rRNA from 1 species
AUUGAACGCUGGCGGCAUGCCUUACACAUGCAAGUCGAACGGCAGCGGGGGAGAAGCUUGCUUUUCCUGCCGGCGAGUGGCGAACGGGUGAGCAAUACAUCGGAACGUGCCCUGUAGUGGGGGAUAACUAGUCGAAAGAUUAGCUAAUACCGCAUACGACCUGAGGGUGAAAGUGGGGGACCGCAAGGCCUCAUGCUAUAGGAGCGGCCGAUGUCUGAUUAGCUAGUUGGUGGGGUAAAGGCCUACCAAGGCGACGAUCAGUAGCUGGUCUGAGAGGACGAUCAGCCACACUGGGACUGAGACACGGCCCAGACUCCUACGGGAGGCAGCAGUGGGGAAUUUUGGACAAUGGGCGAAAGCCUGAUCCAGCAAUGCCGCGUGUGUGAAGAAGGCCUUCGGGUUGUAAAGCACUUUUGUCCGGAAAGAAAUGGCUCUGGUUAAUACCUGGGGUCGAUGACGGUACCGGAGGAAUAAGGACCGGCUAACUACGUGCCAGCAGCCGCGGUAA